rnacentral:piRNA from 1 species
UGCAAAGUAGAAAUCCUGUGUAUUGUCAGA